AGUGGAAAAAUUUGGCUGAUUGCAACCACCCUAAAAAAUGCUAAACCAGUGU
rnacentral:ncRNA from 1 species